ACAUCCUUAUGUGUCGCCGGUCCCGCGCGAGCGGGUCAAAAGGGAACACCGUGCGCCCCGGCCGGACCCAACGUCCGGGGGCAAGUCGGUGGCUGCCCCCGCAACUGUCAGCGGCCAGCGGCCGAUCCGUUCGCCCCCCAGGGCGAGCCACUGGACCCCAGGUCCGGGAAGGCAGGACCGGUCGCGCCCACGCCGCAAGCCAGGAGACCUGCCGGCGUCGCACCCACCGU
rnacentral:ncRNA from 2 species